rnacentral:rRNA from 1 species
CUUGACUGUAUCUUGGAAUUGGGUUCGGGCUUCUCUUGCGCAGACUAGGUGGGAGGCUAUGAAGAUUUCCUUCCGGGGAAGUUGGAGCCACCAGUGAGAGACCACUCUGGAGGGGCUAGAAUCCUAAUGGUGAUCCUUGAAUCAGGACACUUGACAGUUUCAGGUGGGCAGUUUUUCUGGGGCGGAAGCCUCAUAAAGGGUAACUGAGGCGCGCAAAGGUCCCCUCAGUCUGGACGGAAAUCAGACAACGAGUGUAAAGGCAAAAGGGGGCUUGACUGCAAGACCUACAAGUCGAGCAGGAGCGAAAGCUGGCCUUAGUGAUCCGACGGUACCGUGUGGAAGGGCCGUCGCUCAACGAAUAAAAGUUA